AUAAAUGCAGACAGAAGCUCGGGCUGCAUCUUGGAAAAAAACAAGGAGACUCGGAGGUGAGAGGCUUCUGGGCGUCCCAAUGCCACAGGUGAGGAUACAAUCACUAAAGGUGAUACUAGAGGUAACCAGAGCUCACUCUGGGUGGUAAGGAAAGCUGGAGAAGGAAGGUCAGAGGUGACAACAGCACCAGGCAGGUGCAGAGUCCUCAGACGUGACUGGAUGCUGAGUGGGAAGGAGAGGAUGGUCAGUUCCCAGUGAGUGACGCCACAGAGAGCUCAAACUGGAAGAAAGCAGCUGGGGCUCUUGAAGGGAGCAUAUCAGUGGAGCAGGGCAGAGGGCAGACCUGGGAAGGCCCAAGAGGUGGGCGGGGCUAAAGGAAGCUGCCACUUCCUUCUCUUUGGGGAAGUUUGGCUAGGAUGAGGAGGACAGGCUGAAUUCAGAGAAUGUGGUAUUUAGAAUAGGAGAGAUCUGAGCAUGCUGGGUCAACAGAGCCAGGAACAACCGGAGCACGGAGAGACAAAGAAGAGUUCAGGGCUGGGUGGCAGAAGAUCUGGUGACCGAAGGUCACAGAGCUGAGCUCUGGAAGAAUGCCAGGCUCCUGGACUGAGGAAGACAACUUGGAGGAAGCUCCUGGGUACAGUGUUACUGGACUAUGGUCCAUAGGACAGGGCAGACACUAAUUCAAAUAUGUGCACCAGAUCCCACUGAGGAAAAUGGAUGUGGACCAGUGUGGAGUGGAAGGAACCAGGGGAAAUAGCCAGAUGUCCUUUGCUCCAGAUUUCUUGGCAUGGAGCUGGGCACACGACCAACGCUGAGGACCAGCUGCAACGGGCAAGGAGGGAGAGAGGCUCCACCUACAUGCCAAAGCCACCGGAUAGAGGCGGCAUUUUACUCCAGAGUCUGCAGCAGUAUUCUCCCUCCAGGGUGCAGAAGGAGGAGAAAGAAGCUCAGAAACCAGCCCAGUGCAGGCUGAUGGUUCUGCAGAUAAUCGGCAAAGGGUGGGCAGUUGGCUCUUUCCUGCUUCUCAGGUCAUGGCCCAAGAGGUGCAAGGAGGGAUUGGAGUGGGGCAUUCAGAUCAAGGAGAGUUCUAUCUCCUGCCGCUCCAGGCACUGGGCUGGCAGUCAAGAAUCUCAGCCGGAAACAUAGCCAAGGUCCUGGGCCUCAGAUUGUUCUGGAUGCCAGAAGAGGACACUCACAAUCCCCCUACUGGAAGUGGGCUAAUGUGUGUUUUAUUUUCUGAGACACCCAAGUAAAGGCCCAGAUGAGGAUAAAUGUCACUCUCCUGGAAUGGUUCCUUGGAGAGUUACAGAUUUCCAACUAAGAACCCCAGAUAACCUCCCAAUAGGAGAGAAGGCUGUAAUUUGAGAAUUACCUUCUCUGAACCCCCUGCCUGCUUGCUCUCCAGACAAGAGUGGUCAGGGGGACUGCAGGGUUGGAUGAGGGCAGCAUUUCUCUAGAAUCCUAAGUAUCUCCCUUUGCUACAGUCUCUAUUAUUCGACUGAACAAGGUUGUUUGUCUUUAAAGUCCUCAUAUGAAACUGGAGGCCUUGUCUUACUUGCAGGCUGGUACAGUGACAUUAACUGCAGGUUCCUUCCGACAAAGCCAAAGACAGAUUUUUAAAUUAAUAAUAACAUUUAUUGUUCGUUUUCUCUGAUUGCAAAAGUAAUAAAUGUUCAUUGUAACCAUAA